rnacentral:tRNA from 1 species
GCCAGCAUGGUGUAGUGGUUUGAGUACUGAACUAUGAAUCUGGAGACCAGGGUUCAAAUCCCUGCUUAGCCA